rnacentral:tRNA from 1 species
GGAGGGCUAGCGAAGUGGUCAUAACGCGGCGGUCUUGAAAACCGUUUGUCCGAAAGGGCACGGGGGUUCGAAUCCCUCGCCCUCCGCCA